rnacentral:rRNA from 1 species
GACGAACGCUGGCGGCGUGCCUAAUACAUGCAAGUAGAACGCUGAAGGAGGAGCUUGCUUCUCUGGAUGAGUUGCGAACGGGUGAGUAACGCGUAGGUAACCUGCCUGGUAGCGGGGGAUAACUAUUGGAAACGAUAGCUAAUACCGCAUAAUAGUAGAUGUUGCAUGACAUUUGCUUAAAAGGUGCAAUUGCAUCACUACCAGAUGGACCUGCGUUGUAUUAGCUAGUUGGUGAGGUAACGGCUCACCAAGGCGACGAUACAUAGCCGACCUGAGAGGGUGAUCGGCCACACUGGGACUGAGACACGGCCCAGACUCCUACGGGAGGCAGCAGUAGUGAAUCUUCGGCAAUGGACGGAAGUCUGACCGAGCAACGCCGCGUGAGUGAAGAAGGUUUUCGGAUCGUAAAGCUCUGUUGUAAGAGAAGAACGAGUGUGAGAGUGGAAAGUUCACACUGUGACGGUAUCUUACCAGAAAGGGACGGCGAACUACGU